UACAGCCAUAUCAUGUUGAAAUACCAGUUCCCAUAUGAUCACCAAAUUUAAGCAAUAUCAAGCCUGUUCAGUACCUAGAUGGGUGACCUCUUGGAUAUGCAGGUGGUGUAA